GGCUGAUUUAAGUAUGAUGUCCGCCAUUUUGAAUUUUACCGGAAGUGAGACAUUUUUUUCAAAUGCCUCCCUAUCUGAAAUACAAGAGUAAUAGUUGAGGAAGGUUUAUGCCAAAUUUCAUGCUUGUAGCAGGAUGUGCACAAUUUUUUACCAAGCCGCCGUACUAAUAAUGGUUUACUUUUUUUAAAUUGUUAUUUGGAUGGAAGGUUGUCUCAUUGGCACUCGCACCACAUCUUCCUAUAUCUAUGUAUUCCUAACUAAAUUCCAGGAUUAUUUUGGGCAUAUUUAGACAGAAACAUAAAUUCCAGAAAUAAAAGCUGAUGACUUCCAUAUGUUUUGGUUCUAACCGUUACACUCAAAUUUCCAGACAUAUUGACAACAUCAUGAAAAAAAAUUCCAGUAUUUCUAAGUAGUGUAAUGAUUGUUAAUUCUGGAAUUUCGGAAGAUUUUGACAAUGGCGAAAAACUAUUUCCACAGAUGUUUUUUUGACAACUGAUGUCUUCCUUA
rnacentral:lncRNA from 1 species